CAAUUUCUGGUUUUGGAAUUUUCUGGUCUGGCACAUAGGCUCUCCUUCAGGACUUUGUAGCUCUCUAUUUAAGUUUUAUUUUGGUUGGUUGCACUCUUGUCAGUGCUUUGAGAAUCGGCAUAGGCUCUCCUUCGGGACUUUGUAGCUCUCUAGUUAAGUUUUGUUUUCGUUGGUUGCACUCUUGUUAGUGCUUUGAGAAUUGGUUCACUUUUGUUUUCAGGUAACUGUUCUUGUUGUGUUAUUUUGGUACUUGCUUUGGUCUUAGAGUGGGUUGGUUUGGGUUUCAGUGCCUCUAUCUUGGUGAUGCUUCUUUAUUGACUGAGGUCGGUAUUCUGUUUCCUAUUGCUGCAACUUCUUAGGAAACAGUUGGUCCCCGUUUGUGCGGGUGAGCUACUGUUGGUACUCCUUUGAAGGUUCCAGUGUGUAUUUGGAGUAAUUUUGUGGGUGCAUUCCCUAGUUUGGUUGCGUUUUGCUUCAGAAUUUCGUUACCUUCUCUUAGGGGCUCUUUUGGUUGUUUGGCUAUCAAGACUAGCUGGUGUCUCUCAGACACUUUCUGGACUUCUGGUCAUCUUUAAGAGGGGAUUCAAGCGCUGUAAGCUUCUGCCCCAUUUAGAAACUCCCUUGAAGAUUUGUUGAACUUUGGACAGCCACUAUAUUGCAGCCAUAUGAGCUGUUUGGGUAAAAAUCCACCUACUGUUUCGUUGUUUUUCCUCACUAGCAUCGCCUUCGGAGAGGGAAGUGCAACCUUGUGAGUUGCUUUAUGUUGAUGUUUCCUCAUCAGCAUCAUCUUUGGAGAGGGUUAUUUUUUAGUAUUCGAAUCUUAGUGUAAAUAUUUCUAAAUUUGGUACAACAUUGUUACUUUGUUUGAACUUGAGAGAUCACUCGACCAGUUGCAGUCUUCUAAAAAGAAUCUCAUCAAGAGGGAGCAUUGGAAUUGAUGAGAUUUCAUGCUCUAUUUCAAGGGGAAGUAUUAUAGAAAGUCAAUAUUUAUAUUUAGUUUUAUUCCUAAUUAAUAGGUUUUAUGUAUUCAUAUUUAGGUUGGAUUUAUAUUCCUAUUUAAUGUGGGAUUUGUAUUAGCGUACACACACACACACACACUAAUACAAUGAGAAAAGAUGUAACCUUCUAUUUUAUAGAAUUAAUGAGAAAAGAUGUAGCCCUUUAUGGUUCUUUUUUCCUUUUUCUUCUUCGUUUUUUUAAAUCUUAACAUGGUAUAAGAGCCACCCUUCUAGAGAACCUAAUACCUUAGAAGCUUCCUUGGCUGCCGACCGGCGUUCGUCCAAGAUCAAGUGACCGGUGGCCUCGUGCGUAGCUGCCAUGCACCUUGUUUUUAGAUCGGUUUUGUUUGAGAAUAAAAAUAUUUAAAAUUUUAAUAUUUUUAAUAUUUUCAUGUAAAAUUUAGAGGUGUUGGAAUUGAUAAGAUUCCAUGCUCCAUUUUAAGGG
rnacentral:misc_RNA from 1 species